rnacentral:rRNA from 1 species
UACGUAGGGUGCGAGCGUUGUCCGGAAUUACUGGGCGUAAAGGGCUCGUAGGCGGCCAACUAAGUCAUACGUGAAAUCCCUCGGCUUAACCGGGGAACUGCGUCUGAUACUGGAUGGCUUGAGUUCGGGAGAGGGAUGCGGAAUUCCAGGUGUAGCGGUGAAAUGCGUAGAUAUCGGGAGGAACACCUGUGGCGAAAGCGGCUCACUGGACCACAACUGACGCUGAGGCGCGAAAAGCUAGGGGAGCAAACAGGG